UACGUAGGACCCAAGCGUUAUCCGGAAUUACUGGGCGUAAAGAGUUGCGUAGGUGGCAGAGUAAGUUAUUAGUGAAAGCGUGUGGCUCAACCAUACAUCCAUUAAUAAAACUGCUCAGCUUGAAGAUGGGAGAGGUAGCUGGAAUUCCUAGUGUAGGAGUGAAAUCCGUAGAUAUUAGGAGGAACACCGAUGGCGUAGGCAGGCUACUGGCCCAUUCUUGACACUAAGGCACGAAAGCGUGGGGAGCGAACGGG
rnacentral:rRNA from 1 species